CCAAUUUUAUUUGCGGUUCGAAUUAGAUUCUCGUCAAUUUUCAAUUUCCUCUCU
ensembl:ncRNA C30B5.11 ncRNA